UACGUAGGGUGCAGGCGUUAAUCGGAAUUACUGGGCGUAAAGCGUGCGCAGGCGGUUUGUUAAGACAGAUGUGAAACUCCCCGGGCUUAACCCGUGGGAACUGCGUUUUGUAAACUGGCAGACUGGAGUGUGGCAGAGGGGGUGGAAUUCCAAGUGUAGCAGUGAAAAUGCGUAGAUAUUUGGAGGAACACCGAUGGCGAAGGCAGCCCCCUGGGCUAACACUGACGCUCAUGCACGAAAGCUGGGGA
rnacentral:rRNA from 1 species